GGGGGAGCGCCGGAUCCUGGGCUGUGUCUGCCGCGCCCUGUGCUCCUGGGCCUGCACUGUCGGAUUCACACUCCUGGCUGCGCAGCCCCUU
rnacentral:pre_miRNA from 1 species